rnacentral:lncRNA from 1 species
CAACUUCCUCCUCCCUCUUUGUCCAUGACUGCUCCCAGGUAUGUGAACUUGUCUACAUCUUCUACUUUCUGGUCGUAUAGUGUUAUCAGCUCUUUAUUCUUUGUUUGUUUUGAGCUCAGAGUUUUACACUUUUUGGGGUUAAGUUUCAUUCCAACUCUUUCAGCUUCAGUUGUUAAUUUCUGUGUUUUUUUCAUCAAGGUCGCUAAAUUUUGAGGAAAGAAGUGCGAUGUCGUCAGUAAAGUCAAGAUCUUCUAGAACAGUAUUAAAGUUCCAUCGUAUCCCUCUGGCUUGUCUGCAGUUGUUUUCCGCAUGAUCCAGUCUACGACUAGAAGGAAAAGAAAACCUGACAGUACGCAUCCCUGUUUCACUCCUGAUUUUAUCUCAAACCAUUCUGAUGUUUCUCCCUGAUCGAUGACAGAACACUUAAAUCCUUUAUAUAUCUCCUUUAUGGUUCUUAUGAUCUUGUCAGGUAUUCCGUAGCUCUUCAUGAUAUACCAUAGAUUCUCUCGGUGGACUGAGUCAAAUGCUUUUUCGAAGUCUAUAAAAAGUAUUAUUAAAGCUGCCCUCCAUUCAUUUGUUUGCUCGAGUAUGUUUCGAAGGAUAAAAUUUGUUCAGUUGUUCCUCUUUUUGGUCUAAAUCCUGCCUGCUCAUUCCUCAACCUCUUGUCUAUUCCUUCUUUUAUUCUUUCUAUUAGCAUUCUGCAGAAUACUUUACUGAAAACAGGUAAAAGCGUCACUCCCCUCCAGUUGUUACAAUCUGUCAUAUCGCCCUUCUUAAAGAUCUUACAAAUCAAUCCCUUUCUCCAGUCUGAUGGCCAAUUUUUUUCUUCCCAUAGGCUAUUAAAUAUUUC